rnacentral:rRNA from 1 species
AUUUCCGUAGGUGAACCUGCGGAAGGAUCAUUAUUGAAAACAAGGGUGUCCAAUUUAACUUGGAACCCAAACUUCUCAAUUCUAACUUUGUGCAUCUGUAUUAAUGGCGAGCAACUUCGGUUGUGAGCCUUCACUUACAAAACACUAGUCUAUGAAUGUAAAAUUUUUAUAACAAAUAAAAACUUUCAACAACGGAUCUCUUGGCUCUCGCAUCGAUGAAGAACGCAGCGAAAUGCGAUACGUAAUGUGAAUUGCAGAAUUCAGUGAAUCAUCGAAUCUUUGAACGCAUCUUGCGCUCUCUGGUAUUCCGGAGAGCAUGUCUGUUUGAGUGUCAUGAAUUCUUCAACCCAAUCUUUUCUUGUAAUCGAUUGGUGUUUGGAUUCUGAGCGUUGCUGGCGUUUGCCUAGCUCGUUCGUAAUACAUUAGCAUCCCUAAUACAAGUUUGGAUUGACUUGGCGUAAUAGACUAUUCGCUAAGGAUUCGGUGGAAACAUCGAGCCAACUUCAUUAAGGAAGCUCCUAAUUUAAAAGUCUACCUUUUGAUUAGAUCUCAAAUCAGGCAGGAUUACCCGCUGAACUUAAGCAUAUCAAUAAGCGGAGGAAAU